AACAAAGAUAAGUCCGUCAACUGUGUAAGAAAUUAAUAGACAACAAUUUUAGUUAAUUAAUGAAGUAUUGGAAUUUAUUUAUUUUCAGAAUUGAUCCGGUGCUAAUUUGAAGGACGAGAAGUUUUUCUUAAUUGUACCUGGCUGUUCACCUGCUCCUCCGCCGCUGAAGUGAGGCUGGGGAUCCUUCUUGGAUGUCUUCCGCUUAGCGUCCUUCACGGCCGACUUGACUUGGUCCUCUUCGCAGGCUUCUUAUCGUCGUCGCCUGAAAUUCCAGAUCCCGAUCCCUGCCUAGGUCCUUCGUUAGACUUUUUCAUGGGCUUCUUUUCCGCAUCCUUAACUUCUUCUCGUCUACCUGUAAAUAAGAGCGUAAACGUAAUGUAAAUUUACAAAUUAAAAAAUAAAAUAAAUGAGUAAAGUAAAACGAUAAAUCUUACGGUCGCUAUCCUUAUGUUUCUUCUCGGCUUCCUUUCUGCCCUUGUGGGUCGUCUUGUUCUUGGCGUCUCUUCUCGGGGAUCGGUCCGAUUCCGAGUCGUCCGACCAAAUUGCUUUCUUGCUCCUAGGCCUUUUACCCUCAUCGCUGCUGCCCGACGAACUGCGAUGACUUGACCGUGAAGAACUACUAUCGCUGGAACUGCGGCUCGUGCUGCGAGUGGCGCUGCGGCUUCUGCGAUUAUCGUUUUCUGAAAUAGAAAUUAAAUUGUAGAUUCAAAUAAUUUUUUCUGUUUUCUUUGCUUUUGAAGCAAUUUGCUUAAGAAUAUGUCUGAAUAAAAUUUCUGAAAGAAAAAAAA